rnacentral:pre_miRNA from 1 species
CUACUACUCACUCCGUCCGAAAAUACUUGUCAUUGAAAUGGAUGUAUCUAGAUGUAUUUUAGUUCUAGACACAUCCAUUUUGAUGACAAGUAAUUCCGGAUGGAGGGAGUAUUAU